rnacentral:rRNA from 1 species
CUACCAUGGCUUUUACGGGUAACGGAGGAUUAGGGUUCGAUUCCGGAGAGGGAGCCUGAGAAACGGCUACCACAUCCAAGGAAGGCAGCAGGCGCGUAAAUUACCCAAUCCUGACUCAGGGAGGUAGUGACAAGAAAUAACGGGCCGGGGUACGACCUCGGGACUGCAAUGAGACGAAUUUACACCCCUUAUCGAUCACCAAUUGGAGGGCAAGUCUGGUGCCAGCAGCCGCGGUAAUUCCAGCUCCAAUAGCGUAUAUUAAAGUUGUUGCAGUUAAAAAGCUCGUAGUUGGAUUUCUGGCAGGGGGCAACAGCCCGCUUGCAGCGUGUGCUUGCCGUCCCCUACCAUCCUUCUGUUAACGCGCCAGGACAUUCACUUGUCGGGCGCGGGCUCAGAUAAUUUACCUUGAGAAAAUUAGAGUGUUUCAGGCAGGCUGACGCCGGGAUACAUUAGCAUGGAAUAAUGGAAUAGGACUUUCGCCUCUUCUGUUGGUCUGAGGGGUGAUCGUAAUGAUUAAUAGGGAUAGUUGGGGGCAUUAGUACUUAACUGUCAGAGGUGAAAUUCUCGGAUUUGUUAAAGACUAACUUAUGCGAAAGCAUUUGCCAAGGAUGUUUUCAUUAAUCAA